AUACUAAGAAAUUAUAGAGUGAUGAUUUGUUUUCACCUCAUAGGUGUGCCUUUCUUAAACCUUGUUAAGAUGUGGACACAUUACCCAUUUAAAG
rnacentral:snoRNA from 10 species